ensembl:lncRNA
GGGGGUGGCCGGGGAUCCCCCGGGUGACCCGCACGGUCCGUGGGCUGGGGGGGGGUGACGGCCCCGUCCGGUGGUCACCCAUCCCCUGGGGUGGCAGGGGGCGAUGGCCGGAGACCGCUCCCGGGGUGACGGCCACAAUCCCGCCGGUGCAGAGCGGGGACAGUGGCUGUGCGGGGGCACCAGCCCCGGCCCCCCCCCCCCCGGAUGAUGGGGUGCACGGUGGUGCCGUGCAGGAAGACACGUGCCCGUGCCGGGCAGAGGGUGCCAGCGUGGCCCCAAAGGUCAGAGGUGGCACUGGGCACCCUGGGGGUCCCUGCGCUGCCCUGUCCCCCUCCUUGUACCCCACUGACCCAGCCCAAGCACUCAUCCCCCUGCACUGGGGCUCCCCCCGGCUAUUUGCCACCGGGCAGAUGUCACCAGAUGUUCUCUGCGGUGUCCAAGCCGGUGUCACGGUCACACCGGGGGCGAGGGCUGUGCCAUCUGUGCGCCCGGCUGCUGCCCCGGCGCCGCGUGGCUCGAGCGGGAGCGGCGGUGGCGUGGGCACCGGGCAGGAGCUGUGCCAGCCCCGGGGCCGCCGUGCCCUCUGGGUGCCAAGAGCCAGAGCACGAGGCGGUGACACGGCGGUGGCACCCUGCGGGGGUGCCGGCGCAGGCCGUGACCCCGCCACCGCUUCCUCCCCGUGGGCAGGGCGGCGGGCGCCCGCCCGAAGGAAUUCCUCCUCGCCGGGGACACCGGGCAGCACAGCCCGCUGCCGCCAUCGCCGUGCCCAGCUGGGCAGAGCGGCUCCGUCGUCCUUCCCGGCCUCAGCACCGUGCUGGCCUCGUCCCUCCGGCCCCCUUUGCUCCGUCCCCGACUCACCUCGCUGGGCCUCGGCUCCCGCGGUGUGCUCUCAGAGCGCGGCAGCGCGGCCGGGCCGCCUCGGCGGUGGUUGCGGGGUCGCCCGAGCGGCUGGCGGGGUGGGCAGGGGGCUGCGGCCAUGCAGGGGGGCCGCGGCGCUCCCCGUGGGCACGAGCGAGGGGCGGGCGGGGGGCACGGGCGGCAUCGUCAGGCCGAGGCCAGCGGGUGGGCGGCGGGCGCCCCGCGGGCGGUGGGAGCCCGGCCUCCGGCCCCGCCAGCGCCAGGGGCCGGGAGCUGCCUUCCCCACGGCGGCGGCGGGGGGAGGCAGGCGGGGGAGCGCUCCCCGAGCCACAUGGUGGGCCGGAGGAGGAGCUGUUGCCCAGGCAACAGCUGAGAGCAUCCUUCACCCCUGAAAAUCGUGUGUGCGGCGCUGCCUCCACAGCCCCACGGCUCGGGGCAGGGCCCGGGGUGCUCAGCACCCCUGUGGCAGCCCCCCCCCGUCCCCCCAUGUGGCUCACCCGCGGGCCCCACAUGCCCUGGAUGUGGCUGGGAACAUCUCGGGCCGGGCUUUUUCCAGGGGCCCUGCGGCAGCACGUAGGGCACGCGCUGCUCCCCGCCUUCAGGGACGCGGAGGGGGACACGGGCCCCCCGGCUGUUGGGACCGGGGCACCGCUGGGCGAGGCAGAGCCCUUCCCGUGCCCUCACGGGGCUUGGCCCUGGGCUCCCAGCCCCCAGCCCCGCCUGAGAAGCCGCGGUGCCCAUCACCAGCAUCGUGCUGGUGACCCCAGGACCCCCAAGCCUGGGUGCUGCAGCCCAGGCAGUGCCAAAAUGGCACCAGGACCAGCCCUGACCGGUGCCACGGGCGCAGCUCUCCCCAUCGCUCCCCAUCCCCCCGCCGUGCCUCCCUUUCUUCCACGGCUGCAGAAAAUUCCUGGAUUUUACCCCAAGAUGCCCCCUCCGAGUGUGAGAACUCCUCCUCGGCCCGCUCCCAUGGCAACUGUUCCCUAG